AAUAAUUUUUUAGGUUGGAAUACGAACCUAAAAAUAUAAUAUCCUACCCUUGUGAAUUUGUUGUUUGAAAUAAUUUUUUAAAAAAUUAUUUAUAGUUUUGUCUAUCCCUGAGUUGUAAGAGAAGUAAAUUCUUUGAAAGCUUAGGGAAUAGGCUUUAUCUAUAAAUAUGAUUUUAAAGACCUUUUUUUAAAUUAACUUUUUGUAUCAUUGUCUAAUUUAUUUUUAAUAAUUUAAAAACACUUUUGACAAGGAUCUCUUGUUCUCGCACGAUGAAGAACGCAGCAAAUGCGAUAAGUAAUGUGAUUGCAGAAUACGUGAAUCAUCAAAUCUUCGAACGCAUAUUGCACUUUUUAGUUUACUAAAAAAGUAUGUCUGUUGAGUAUCAGUAAAAUAUUCUCAUAAAAAAUUUAUUUUUUAUGGUUUGAUGUUUUACAACGAUACAAGUUGUUUCACUUUAAAUUGACUUUAAAUUGCCUAUUAAUUUAGUCAAUUUUUAAAAUUGCAUAAAAUUUCCCGUAAAAAGGAAUAAACCUAUAAUUUUAAAAUUAACUGAUAUAAAAGGCCUUGAUAAAGGAAUUUAAUUAAAUAACUUGAUCUCAAAUCAGAAGAGUACCGCUGAACUUAGCAUAUCAACAAGCGGAGGAAGAACUAACAAGGAUUCCUAGUAACGCGAGUGAAGCGGGAAGAGCUCAAUUUGAAAUCUUCAAGGUUUGACCUGAAGAAUUGUAGUUUAAAGAAUGUUUUCGGUUAGAGGAGUGGUAAAAGUUUUUGGAAUAGGACAUCAUAGAGGGUGAGAAUCCGUAUUUGACCAUUCUUUCUAGCUUGUGAUACACUUUCAAAGAGUCGAUUGUUUGGGAAUGCAGUCCAAUGGGUGGUAAAUUUAUCUAAAGCUAAAUAUGGCGAGAGACCGAUAGCGAACAAGUACGUGGGAAAGAUGAAGACUUUGAAAAGAGAGUUAAACAGUACGUGAAAUUGUCAAAAGGAAGCGUUUGACACCAGUGUUGUUUUUCCGAAAUCAAUUAAAAAUGAUUCAUGCAGUUGUAUUGACUUAUCAGCUUGCAUUUGGUUUUGGUUCUUUUUGAUGCACUUUUCGGUUAACAAGUCACAUCAAUUUCCUUUGCUGUAAAAGGCAGAAGGAAGGUGGUUCAAUUCGGUUGAAGUUUAUAGCCUCUGUCUCUGCAGUCGGGAGAUGAGUCUGCAGCGUAGAUCUUCGGUUAGAUACAUGUCGUAGUUAUAGCCUUUAUAGACAAUUGUUGAUAUGAUGGUCAUGUAAUUAUCGCGAGUGCUAUUUUACC
rnacentral:misc_RNA from 1 species